GACGAACGCUGGCGGCGUGCUUAACACAUGCAAGACGAACGAUGAACCCGGAGCUUGCUCCGGCGGAUUAGUGGCGAACGGGUGAGUAACACGUGAGUAACCUGCCCUUGACUCUGGGAUAACUGCGGGAAACUGUAGCUAAUACCGGAUACGACCCUCGGCGGCAUCGCCAGGGGGUGGAAAGAAUUUCGGUCAAGGAUGGACUCGCGGCCUAUCAGCUAGUUGGUGAGGUAACGGCUCACCAAGGCGACGACGGGUAGCCGGCCUGAGAGGGUGACCUGCCACACUAGGACUGAGACACGGCCCAGACUCCUACGGGAGGCAGCAGUGGGGAAUAAUGCACAAUGGGCGCAAGCCUGAGGCAGCAUCGCCGCGUGAGGGAUGACGGCCUUCGGGUUGUAAACCUCUUUUAGUAGGGAAGAAGCGAAAGUGACGGUACCUGCAGAAAAAGCACCGGCUAACUACGUGCCAGCCGCCGCGGUAA
rnacentral:rRNA from 1 species